ACUCAAAUGAAUAGACGGGGGCCCGCACAAGCAGCGGAGCGUGUGGUUUAAUUCGACGCGACGCGAAGAACCUUACCAGGGCUUGACAUGACCACCGAUACCUUAGAGAUAGGGUAGCCCUUCGGGGGGUGGCCACAGGUGUUGCAUGGCUGUCGUCAGCUCGUGCCGUGAGGUGUUGGGUUAAGUCCCGCAACGAGCGCAACCCUCGUCGCUAGUUAGGCUGUCUAGCGAGACUGCCGGAAGCAAACCGGAGGAAGGCGGGGAUGACGUCAAGUCAGCAUGGCCCUUACGUCCUGGGCUACACACACGCUACAAUGGCCGGUACAACGGGUAGCAAGAGCGCGAGCUGGAGCUAAUCCCAUCAAAGCCGGUCUCAGUUCAGAUUGCAGGCUGCAACUCGCCUGCAUGAAGGAGGAGUUGCUAGUAACCGUGGGUCAGCACACCGCGGUGAAUAUGUUCCCGGGCCUUGUACACACCGCCCGU
rnacentral:rRNA from 1 species